UACGGAGGGUGCAAGCGUUAAUCGGAAUUACUGGGCGUAAGGGGUGCGUAGGUGGUUGUAUAAGUUAACUGUGAAAUCCACGGGCUCAACCUGGGAAGGUCAGUUAAGACUGUAUGACUCGAGUAUGGGAGAGGGUAGUGGAAUUUCCGGUGUAGCGGUGAAAUGCGUAGAGAUCGGAAGGAACACCAGUGGCGAAGGCGGCUACCUGGCCCAAUACUGACACUGAGGCACGAAAGCGUGGGGAGCAAACAGG
rnacentral:misc_RNA from 1 species